AACGAACGCUGGCGGCAGGCCUAACACAUGCAAGUCGAACGCUGUAGCAAUACAGAGUGGCAGACGGGUGAGUAACACGUGGGAACGUACCCUUCGGUUCGGAAUAACUUAGGGAAACCUGAGCUAAUACCGCAUAUGCCCUUCGGGGUGAAAGUCUUCGGACGCCAGAGGAUCGGCCUGCGGCCCAUUAUUUAAUCCUUGUUGGUGGGGUAACGGCCUACCAAGGGUACGAUGGGUAGCUGGUCUGAGAGGAUGAUCAGCCACACUGGGACUGAGACACGGCCCAGACUCCUACGGGAGGCAGCAGUGGGGAAUAUUGGACAAUGGGGGAAACCCUGAUCCAGCUACGCCGCGUGGGUGAUGAAGGCCUUCGGGUUGUAAAGCCCUGUCGAGGGGGACGAAGUUCUGACGGUACCCCUCAAGAAAGCACCGGCUAACUCCGUG
rnacentral:rRNA from 1 species